AUUGAACGCUGGCGGCAGGCCUAACACAUGCAAGUCGAACGGUAACAGGAAGCAGCUUGCUGCUUUGCUGACGAGUGGCGGACGGGUGAGUAAUGUCUGGGAAACUGCCCGAUGGAGGGGGAUAACUACUGGAAACGGUAGCUAAUACCGCAUAACGUCGCAAGACCAAAGAGGGGGACCUUAGGGCCUCUUGCCAUCGGAUGUGCCCAGAUGGGAUUAGCUAGUAGGUGGGGUAACGGCUCACCUAGGCGACGAUUCCUAGCUGGUCUGAGAGGAUGACCAGCCACACUGGAACUGAGACACGGUCCAGACUCCUACGGGAGGCAGCAGUGGGGAAUAUUGCACAAUGGGCGCAAGCCUGAUGCAGCCAUGCCGCGUGUAUGAAGAAGGCCUUCGGGUUGUAAAGUACUUUCAGCGGGGAGGAAGGGAGUAAAGUUAAUACCUUUGCUCAUUGACGUUACCCGCAGAAGAAGCACCGGCUAACUCCGUG
rnacentral:rRNA from 1 species